rnacentral:piRNA from 1 species
CCCAAGUGUUUAGAGGUGGGGCAG